rnacentral:rRNA from 1 species
GAUGAACGCUAGCGGGAGGCCUAACACAUGCAAGCCGAGCGGGAUUCUAUCUUCGGAUAGAUGAGAGCGGCGUACGGGUGCGGAACACGUGUGCAACCUGCCUUUAUCUGGGGGAUAGCCUUUCGAAAGGGAGAUUAAUACCCCAUAAUAUAUUGAUUUGCAUGAAUUGAUAUUGAAAACUCCGGUGGAUAGAGAUGGGCACGCGCAAGAUUAGAUAGGUGGUUAGGUAACGGCUUACCAAGUCGAUGAUCUUUAGGGGGCCUGAGAGGGUGGACCCCCACACUGGUACUGAGACACAGACCAGACUCCUACGGGAGGCAGCAGUGAGGAAUAUUGGACAAUGGGUGAGAGCCUGAUCCAGCCAUCCCGCGUGAAGGAUUAAGGACCUAUGGUUUGUAAACUUCUUUUUUACAGGGAUAAACCUAGAUACGUGUAUCUAGUUGAAGGUACUGUAAGAAUAAGCACCGGCUAACUCCGUGCCAGCAGCAGCCGCCG